rnacentral:lncRNA from 1 species
GUCCAUCUGGGGCUGCGCGCUGCUCUGCUGUUUGCAAAACCCUUCAGUGAGUCUGGCUUUAGGGAAGGGGAUAUGGAUAAGCAGCAGCUUCUGCUUCUAGCCUGCCCCUUCCAUGAAUUGCCCCAUCCCAAUUCCAUGGCCCUCUGCUCAGGAGGCCCCAGUGGCGUGGAGAGCCUGGGCGGCCUCUGAAGAAGGCUGCGACGGCAGCAUUGUGAUCUGGGUGAACUGCAAGAGCAUCCCGAACAGGUGAGAGAGACAUAAAGGGGACUCGAUGGAGUCUGCAUCCUUGCAUCCCAUCCUCUGAGAUGCUCUAUGCACCCUAGGACGUGUGCAUACACAGCUAUCCAUGCCCAUUAGCCACCAACACAUGCUACCUUAGUCCCUUUUCCCUGGAGGGAUGCACAUGAAGCUAAACGAGUCCCUCCAAGCUGUUAUAGAUGGUGUGCAUGUCUCGAGCUGACCUGCAGACUUGGUGUUUUGCUUGCUAUGUCAAAUACUGUUGGAACAUGGUGGAAUAUCAUUAUGUGAAUAGCAAAAAUAAAUUAAAAUACUGGG